GGGCGUGUGGUGUAGUGGUAUCACAUCUCGUUUGCAUCGAGAAGGCCCUGGGUUCGAUCCCCAGCGUGUCCA
rfam:Vitrella brassicaformis CCMP3155 genome assembly, contig: scaffold210